rnacentral:sRNA from 1 species
GAGAUUUUUAUUUUAAUGUCAAAUUCUAGUUCAAUUCUGAUCCUAGCUCUUGAGGUUAAAAUUAGUGCAGCUGUAACUGUUUUGACAUCCAGAAAGGAGCUUCAAAAUUUGCAGUGUUCUGUAAUAUAGUGGUCUGCUUAAAGAAGGGUUUUUUUUUAAAAAACCUAUUAUGCACAAGUCAGAUUCUUAGUGAAUGAUUGCUUUGGGAAUACUGAGUGAUUCGUAGAUCUGUUUUAGAAAUUAACUUUUAACAUUUCGUGUAUGCAGAACAGAUUUUAUUAUUACUGCCAGUCAUGAUGGACAUGUCAAGUUCUGGAAAAAAAUAGAAGAGGGAAUUGAAUUUGUUAAACAUUUUCGUAGUCACCUGGGAGUUAUUGAGUGUAUUGCAGUUAGCUCUGAGGGAGCAUUGUUCUGUUCUGUGGGUGAUGAUAAAGCAAUGAAGGUGUUUGAUGUAGUGAACUUUGACAUGAUCAACAUGCUGAAACUUGGCUAUUUUCCUGGACAGUGUGAGUGGAUCUAUUGCCCAGGGGAUGCAAUUUCUUCAGUUGCUGCUUCCGAAAAGAGUACAGGAAAAAUUUUCAUUUAUGAUGGCCGAGGAGAUAACCAGCCACUUCAUAUUUUUGACAAACUCCAUACAUCACCUCUUACUCAGAUACGGCUAAACCCAGUUUACAAAGCAGUAGUGUCUUCUGACAAAUCUGGGAUGAUUGAAUAUUGGACUGGGCCUCCUCAUGAAUAUAAAUUCCCCAAAAAUGUGAACUGGGAAUAUAAAACUGACACUGAUUUAUAUGAAUUUGCCAAGUGUAAGGCUUAUCCAACCAGCAUAUGUUUUUCACCAGAUGGGAAGAAAAUAGCUACUAUUGGUUCUGAUAGAAAAGUUAGAAUUUUCAAGUUUUUAACUGGAAAACUCAUGAGAGUCUUUGAUGAAUCACUAAGCAUGUUUACUGAACUGCAACAGAUGAGGCAACAGUUACCAGACAUGGAA